CUCCUCUCAGGGUCACUCGUGGAGAGAUUCCAGUACUCCACCAGUCUUGACUAUGGGAGGGAGAGUCAAGCAGAGGCAAACCUAUUCCAUUCCUAGCUUGGGCAGUGGCUAGAGAGUGGAAGACAAUCUGCUACAACG